rnacentral:rRNA from 1 species
AUUGAACGCUGGCGGCAGGCCUAACACAUGCAAGUCGAGCGGUAGAGAGGUGCUUGCACCUCUUGAGAGCGGCGGACGGGUGAGUAAUGCCUAGGAAUCUGCCUGGUAGUGGGGGAUAACGCUCGGAAACGGACGCUAAUACCGCAUACGUCCUACGGGAGAAAGCAGGGGACCUUCGGGCCUUGCACUAUCAGAUGAGCCUAGGUCGGAUUAGCUAGUUGGUGAGGUAAUGGCUCACCAAGGCGACGAUCCGUAACUGGUCUGAGAGGAUGAUCAGUCACACUGGAACUGAGACACGGUCCAGACUCCUACGGGAGGCAGCAGUGGGGAAUAUUGGACAAUGGGCGAAAGCCUGAUCCAGCCAUGCCGCGUGUGUGAGGAAGGUCUUCGGAUUGUAAAGCACUUUAAGUUGGGAGGAAGGGUCGUUACCUAAUACGUGACGAUUUUGACGUUACCGACAGAAUAAGCACCGGCUAACUCUGUGCCAGCAGCCGCAGUAACAC